rfam:Candidatus Bathyarchaeota archaeon RBG_16_57_9 RBG_16_scaffold_6328, whole genome shotgun sequence.
CCCGCCCUAGCUCAAUGGUAGAGCAUCCGGCUGUAGUCGUCGCCCCGUGGGGCGGUGGCAUUCAGACCAUGAGCAGACACCGGAGGGUUGCAGGUUCAACUCCCGCGGGCGGGA